rnacentral:rRNA from 1 species
GAUGAACGCUGGCGGCGUGCCUAAUACAUGCAAGUCGAGCGAACGGACGAGAAGCUUGCUUCUCUGAUGUUAGCGGCGGACGGGGGAGUAACACGUGGAUAACCUACCUAUAAGACUGGGAUAACUUCGGGAAACCGGAGCUAAUACCGGAUAAUAUUUUGAACCGCAUGGUUCAAAAGUGAAAGACGGUCUUGCUGUCACUUAUAGAUGGAUCCGCGCUGCAUUAGCUAGUUGGUAAGGUAACGGCUUACCAAGGCAACGAUGCAUAGCCGACCUGAGAGGGUGAUCGGCCACACUGGAACUGAGACACGGUCCAGACUCCUACGGGAGGCAGCAGUAGGGAAUCUUCCGCAAUGGGCGAAAGCCUGACGGAGCAACGCCGCGUGAGUGAUGAAGGUCUUCGGAUCGUAAAACUCUGUUAUUAGGGAAGAACAUAUGUGUAAGUAACUGUGCACAUCUUGACGGUACCUAAUCAGAAAGCCACGGCUAACUACGUGCCAGCAGCCGCGGUAAUACGUAGGUGGCAAGCGUUAUCCGGAAUUAUUGGGCGUAAAGCGCGCGUAGGCGGUUUUUUAAGUCUGAUGUGAAAGCCCACGGCUCAACCGUGGAGGGUCAUUGGAAACUGGAAAACUUGAGUGCAGAAGAGGAAAGUGGAAUUCCAUGUGUAGCGGUGAAAUGCGCAGAGAUAUGGAGGAACACCAGUGGCGAAGGCGACUUUCUGGUCUGUAACUGACGCUGAUGUGCGAAAGCGUGGGGAUCAAACAGGAUUAGAUACCCUGGUAGUCCACGCCGUAAACGAUGAGUGCUAAGUGUUAGGGGGUUUCCGCCCCUUAGUGCUGCAGCUAACGCAUUAAGCACUCCGCCUGGGGAGUACGACCGCAAGGUUGAAACUCAAAGGAAUUGACGGGGACCCGCACAAGCGGUGGAGCAUGUGGUUUAAUUCGAAGCAACGCGAAGAACCUUACCAAAUCUUGACAUCCUUUGACAACUCUAGAGAUAGAGCCUUCCCCUUCGGGGGACAAAGUGACAGGUGGUGCAUGGUUGUCGUCAGCUCGUGUCGUGAGAUGUUGGGUUAAGUCCCGCAACGAGCGCAACCCUUAAGCUUAGUUGCCAUCAUUAAGUUGGGCACUCUAAGUUGACUGCCGGUGACAAACCGGAGGAAGGUGGGGAUGACGUCAAAUCAUCAUGCCCCUUAUGAUUUGGGCUACACACGUGCUACAAUGGACAAUACAAAGGGCAGCGAAACCGCGAGGUCAAGCAAAUCCCAUAAAGUUGUUCUCAGUUCGGAUUGUAGUCUGCAACUCGACUACAUGAAGCUGGAAUCGCUAGUAAUCGUAGAUCAGCAUGCUACGGUGAAUACGUUCCCGGGUCU